rnacentral:rRNA from 1 species
UACGUAGGGUGCGAGCGUUGUCCGGAAUUAUUGGGCGUAAAGAGCUUGUAGGUGGUUUGUCGCGUCUGCUGUGAAAAUCCGAGGCUCAACCUCGGACUUGCAGUGGGUACGGGCAGACUAGAGGUGCGGUAGGGGUGACUGGAAUUCCUGGUGAGUAGCGGUGAAAUGCGCAGAUAUCAGGAGGAACACCGAUGGCGAAGGCAGGUCUCUGGGCAUUAACUGACGCUGAGGAGCGAAAGCGUGGGGAGCGAACAGGA